GGGACAGACAUUCGUAAUCUUAGUUUAGGCGUAGGCUAGAUACUCAGCCUAUAACUUGGGGCAGUCGGGACACAGCGCCAUGUAGUGUUAGCAGGGGCGUGUGUCGUAUGCUAGGCGUUUUCUGGUGAACGACACAUACAGACAUUGGGAGCAAGUCGCCGAGGUUGGCUCGCGAUCUUGGCUCCAAGAGGUGUGAGUUGUUUGCCAGAGACAACAUGUAGGAACCAAUUCCUAGGGACCAGGAGUGACAGUCUUAGUGACAUUCUGACGGUCAGAGAAGGUAGAUCUAUAUAUGGUGUAUCCUUUGCCUGCUACACAAGGGGAUAUCACUCUAGUAUUGAGCGGACUUUGACGUUGGGUUCCAGGAUCCGUGCAGAGACGAGAGAGAGAGAGAGAGACAAGAGAAAUGGAGAGUUCAUCGUGACCUACAGCCAAGCAUCAAUGUCUAUGUGAUUAUUAAAUUUUAAUUCUAGAAUCACAUGAGUUAAACUUUAUAAUAGUAUUUUAAUUAAUAACUUCUUUGUUGAUCUUUUUACAUAUUAGACUGUCGUAUUAUAUGUAACUAUAGUUGUUAAUUAAAUAUUUAUUUUUCGUAUGCAAA
rnacentral:sRNA from 1 species